GGAAAUUCUGCAGAGUAUGCUGUGGCAGAGAUAGUACUAGUGGUGGCUACUACUCCUGAUGGAAGUAUUACUGGAUUGGCCUUAACUGUGAUGACAUGGUUGGUGAAGGGUGUUCUGUAUUCUCUAUAUUCUGAAAGAGAAAUGACUCAGAUGAAAGGAAAGAAGAAGUGAUACCAAGUUGCAACAAUGGAUGUGAUAGCACCGAAGGAGGCAAUUCCCUGACCCAAGUCUGCCACUCUCGUCUUCUAGCUCCUCACUCCAUUUUGACCAUGAUGUGCACAUCCAUACCCAUUUAUAUGGGUAUGACGACCUUGUUUCUGCAGUCCAAGCUCUGUCAAUACUCAGGACUGAGUCUUACACCAUCAGCAUUCCUGGUUCUCAGGACUCACUGA
ensembl:lincRNA